UCCCCUCUUAUUGUGCCUGGUUCAGCUUGAAGAGGAUCUGUUGACCCUAUCAACUUACGUGCUGAUGCUACAACACCAACCCCUUCCCAAGCCAUACACACAACAGGACCUGAAGUUAUGUAAUUAAUCAGUUUAGGGAAGAAAGGCCUAGUCUUGAGAUCCUUAUAAUGUUCCUCUGCCAAUUCUUGAGGACAUUGGAAGAGCUUCAGGCCUGUCAGUUUAAAUCCUU
rnacentral:misc_RNA from 1 species